rnacentral:rRNA from 1 species
GACAAACGCUGGCGGCGUGCUUAACACAUGCAAGUCGAACGGAAAGGCCCUGCUUUUGUGGGGUGCUCGAGUGGCGAACGGGUGAGUAACACGUGAGUAACCUGCCCUUGACUUUGGGAUAACUUCAGGAAACUGGGGCUAAUACCGGAUAGGAGCUCCUGCUGCAUGGUGGGGGUUGGAAAGUUUCGGCGGUUGGGGAUGGACUCGCGGCCUAUCAGCUUGUUGGUGGGGUAGUGGCUUACCAAGGCUUUGACGGGUAGCCGGCCUGAGAGGGUGACCGGCCACAUUGGGACUGAGAUACGGCCCAGACUCCUACGGGAGGCAGCAGUGGGGAAUAUUGCACAAUGGGCGGAAGCCUGAUGCAGCAACGCCGCGUGCGGGAUGACGGCCUUCGGGUUGUAAACCGCUUUCGCCUGUGACGAAGCGUGAGUGACGGUAAUGGGUAAAGAAGCACCGGCUAACUACGUG